rnacentral:rRNA from 1 species
GACGAACGCUGGCGGCGUGCCUAAUACAUGCAAGUUGAGCGAUGAAGAUUGGUGCUUGCACCAAUUUGAAGAGCAGCGAACGGGUGAGUAACGCGUGGGGAAUCUGCCUUUGAGCGGGGGACAACAUUUGGAAACGAAUGCUAAUACCGCAUAACAACUUUAAACAUAAGUUUUAAGUUUGAAAGAUGCAAUUGCAUCACUCAAAGAUGAUCCCGCGUGGUAUUAGCUAGUUGGUGAGGUAAAGGCUCACCAAGGCGAUGAUACAUAGCCGACCUGAGAGGGUGCUCGGCCACCUUGGGACUGAGACACGGCCCAAACUCCUACGGGAGGCAGCAGUAGGGAAUCUUCGGCAAUGGACGAAAGUCUGACCGUGCAACGCCGCGUGAGUGAAGAAGGUUUUCGGAUCGUAAAACUCUGUUGGUAGAGAAGAACGUUGGUGAGAGUGGAAAGCUCAUCAAGUGACGGUAACUACCCAGAAAGGGACGGCUAACUACGUG